CCAGCACCGGCUGGAAGAUGUUACACCAGCCCGAGAGCCGGGGGACGCGCAGGUGCGAGGGAGGCCGGACCUGGGUAGGUGGGGAGGAGGGGCGGGGCUCUGAGGCUCCACCCCGCGGCCCCGCGGCCCCUUGGCCCCGCGGCCGCGCGGCGAUUGGUUACUGGAACCGCGACCCCCGCUGGACCUACUGACCUAAGGGAUCGCCCGAAGGGGCAGAAAGAGAAAAACCGGACCUCUCGGCCCCAGCUGGAGCCUCAACGUUGGAGGGGCAGGAAGAGGACACACUUUCUUUAGGGAAACUCCACAGGAUUUAUUACAUUACAGAUCUGGAUGUAAGAAGUCCAAAAUGGAUUGACAGAGGAGAUGGGAUGAAGAUGGUGGAAUAGAAGGAAUGGAGAUCAACCUCUUUCCUAAAAAUGAUAAAAUCUACAACCGAAUGCUGAGAAAUCUUCAACCAAAUGGACCAAAACCUUUCAAAAAGACAUCCUACUCCAGAAGACAAAGAGGAGGCCACAUCAAGAGUGGUACAAAAUUGAAUUGUUAAAAAUAUCUGACAAUUAGAGAUAGUCUAAAACAGCAAUAAAGUAAAAAUGUUAUCAUACUACAUUUUUUCUUAGUAUUAAGA
rnacentral:lncRNA from 1 species